UACAGAGGGGGCCAGCGUUAUUCGGAAUUAUUGGGCGUAAAGGGCGCGUAGGCGGCCAUGCGUGUCUUCCGUGAAAUCCCUCGGCUUAACCGAGGACGUGCGGAAGAAACUGCAAGGCUCGAGUCCGGAAGAGGGGGGCGGAAUUCCCAGUGUAGCGGUGAAAUGCGUAGAUAUUGGGAGGAACACCAGUGGCGAAGGCGGUCCCCUGGGCCGGAACUGACGCUGAGGCGCGAAGGCGUGGGUAGCAAACGGG
rnacentral:rRNA from 1 species